GUUCGUUCAAUUUACUGGUUAUCACAACACUACCAACUAUGCCAUCUUCAAUCAACUUCCAAUGAGUUCCAGGGGUAUUAAAUGCUGCCUAUCUUGCAGGUUAAACAGUGUAACAAUAACAGUAACUGCUACAGUGCAGGCGAGCUAGCUACAUCAGUUGGACAUCUUACAACAUUUCCAAGAGGAUUUACUGGUGAAAUACUCCUGCACAAUAGAACUGAGUAGAGGAGAUUUAGAUUUGGAUUCAGAAUGGACAGCCAGUACAAAGAAUCAGAAGUGUGUAUCAUACACCAUGAAACAUCAAAAGAAGGUGAUGAAAUCUUUGGUCUUAAAGACUAUGAAUCCUGGAAAACAUUGCUUGACGCAGCCAAAGUGAGAAACUAUGCCCCUAUUACAGAUGUUGCUAAAGACCUUAGAGAAGAAGAAGUCCCAAGAAUCCACUAUCACAGAAAGUGUCGGAGCCUCUUCACAAUGAAAAGAGAAUUAGAGACUCUGAAAAGGAAAGCCACAGAAAACAUUACAGAUGAAGCUUGAGAGAAUAGUUUACCAAAAAAAACAAGUAGGAGAUCUUCUGAUGGAGCAAGAGUAUAUGAUUCAAUCUGCAUUUUUUGUAAUAAAAAGAAGUUUGUAAAGGGCUCCAAGUCCAGGGAAAAACUCACACAAGCUGUAACAUUAAAUGCUGACCAAACACUAAGAGUAUGUGCCACCCAAAAAAGAGAUGAAAAGAUUCUAGCAGUAACAAGCAGAGAUGUAGUUGCUGCAGAGGCCCACUAUCAUCAUUCAUGCUAUAAGGAGUACACAAGAAUCAAGAAAAAGAAGCCUAAGAAGAACCAAGAUAACGACGCAAAAACAGAUGGUGAUGAAGACUAUAAAAGGAUUGAAAGGGAAGCCUAUAAAGAUAUCAGAACUGAUAUAAUACCCAACAAAACAGUUGUACAGGUCACGUCUUUGGUCACAAAGCUCACAUCAUUCAUGCUAUCUGGUGGAGUUACAAGCCUGCGGGAUUCAACAAAGAAGAACAUGCGAAGGACGCUUGAAAAUGAGCUGGGAAAUUCUGUCGAUAUAUUUCCAGAUGACAAAGGCAAAUUGCUGAUGGUUCCUCAAACUGUUACUAGAGGGGAUGUUGUCUUGGAAAAUCAAAAUCUGCUGAGGGAACUCAGUGUUUGGAGGGACAAGUCAACCAAUGUCAACAAGAUCAUAGAUCAGACAUCAUCACAUAUCAGAUCAAUCAUUAAACAGGAGAUGACUGUGACCCCCUGGCCAUUCCAUCCUUCUGAUGUGAAAAAUAGUGGUUAUAUCACCUUACCAGAUCAACUAGAACGGCUUCUUGUUGGACUGCUCACUGGAAAUCCUGACACCAAAACUCAAACACAGAACAUCACUGCUUUGGUUCAAUCAUUUUGUCAGGACAUAAUAUACGCUGUCACAGGUGGUCAACACCAAAACACCAAAGCUCACGUAUGCUGUAAAAACACUGACGGGUAAUACUGAGCUCAUACAAACACUGAACAAGCUGGGGCAUGGGGUGUCUUACUCCCAGCUUGAAGAGAACAACACUGCUCUUUGUCUCCAAAAACUAGCAACAGCCUCUAACCAAAGAGUUGUACUUCCAGCCUCCAUCAAGCCUCAUGUCUUUACCAAUCUUGCAUGGGAUUAUAUUGAUAGACUUGAAGAAACCCUCACUGGAAAGUGUACAUCACACAGAGUUAAUGGCAUAGUGGUACAGGCCAAUAUCUAUGGACCACAUCUGUCAAGAACUGAUCUUCCACACAUUGAGAAACAGAAGCAGAGAUCAGUCACCAUUGAAUACCAAGGCCUGGAAGUAUAUGUAGCAGGUGCAUGUGUGGGCCCACAACCUCUUCCAACCAGGGGACACUAUAUCCAGGAAACCAAGGAGGCUGCUCUUCUUGCAAGAAAGAAGACAAUGGUGUGGGCACUUGCAAGGCAAACAGAUCCAGAGAAUCAGACAAUCCCCAGCUGGACUGGUUUUAAUAUCAGCACCAGGGACCAGGAACCAAUCUCACAAGAUAUUGUUGGGUAUCUGCCAACCAUCAACUCACCAGCCACAGAGUUGAACACUGUGUUUGAAAUCCUGAAACAAUCAGAGCUAAUGAGGAAGGAGCUGCACCUAGAGACAAUAGUUGUAGUCAUGGAUCAAGUGCUCUAUGCAAAAGCAGCUGAGAUAAUCUGGAAGCACAGAGAAUGGCUCCCCAACAUUCUUCUCUGGGCAGCCGUGGCCCA